rnacentral:rRNA from 1 species
CAGCCUAACACAUGCAAGUCGAACGGCAGCACAGGAGAGCUUGCUCUCUGGGUGGCGAGUGGCGGACGGGUGAGGAAUACAUCGGAAUCUACUCUGUCGUGGGGGAUAACGUAGGAAACUUACGCUAAUACCGCAUACGACCUACGGGUGAAAGCAGGGGAUCUUCGGACCUUGCGCGAUUGAAUGAGCCGAUGUCGGAUUAGCUAGUUGGCGGGGUAAAGGCCCACCAAGGCGACGAUCCGUAGCUGGUCUGAGAGGAUGAUCAGCCACACUGGAACUGAGACACGGUCCAGACUCCUACGGGAGGCAGCAGUGGGGAAUAUUGGACAAUGGGCGCAAGCCUGAUCCAGCCAUACCGCGUGGGUGAAGAAGGCCUUCGGGUUGUAAAGCCCUUUUGUUGGGAAAGAAAUCCAGCCGGCUAAUACCUGG